AUCACUUCUCGGCCUUUUGGCUAAGAUCAAGUGUAGUAUUUGCUCUUUUCAGUUUAAUAUAUGAUACGUCCUCUGAGGACAAUAUAUUAAAUGGAUUUUUGGAGCAGGGAGAUGGAAUAGGAAAUUGUCCACUCCACGUAUCGACCUGGUAUUGCAGUACCUCCAGGAACAGUGCAGCCCCU